rnacentral:rRNA from 1 species
AGCGAACGCUGGCGGCAGGCUUAACACAUGCAAGUCGAGCGGAUGUAGCAAUACAUCAGCGGCAGACGGGUGAGUAACACGUGGGAACGUACCUUUUGGUUCGGAACAACACAGGGAAACUUGUGCUAAUACCGGAUAAGCCCUUACGGGGAAAGAUUUAUCGCCGAAAGAUCGGCCCGCGUCUGAUUAGCUAGUUGGUGAGGUAAUGGCUCACCAAGGCGACGAUCAGUAGCUGGUCUGAGAGGAUGAUCAGCCACAUUGGGACUGAGACACGGCCCAAACUCCUACGGGAGGCAGCAGUGGGGAAUAUUGGACAAUGGGCGCAAGCCUGAUCCAGCCAUGCCGCGUGAGUGAUGAAGGCCCUAGGGUUGUAAAGCUCUUUUGUGCGGGAAGAUAAUGACGGUACC